rnacentral:rRNA from 1 species
UACGUAGGGGGCAAGCGUUGUCCGGAUUUAUUGGGCGUAAAGAGCGUGUAGGCGGCUUGACAAGUCUGCUGUGAAAACUCGAGGCUCAACCUCGAGAUGUCGGCGGAAACUGUCUGGCUAGAGUCCGGAAGAGGAGAGUGGAAUUCCUGGUGUAGCGGUGAAAUGCGCAGAUAUCAGGAAGAACACCUAUGGCGAAGGCAGCUCUCUGGGACGGUACUGACGCUGAGACGCGAAAGCGUGGGGAGCGAACAGG